AUACGGAGGAUGCAAGCGUUAUCCGGAUUUAUUGGUUUAAAGGGUGCGUAGGCGGGUUGCUAAGCGGGAGGUGGAAUGCCGGCGCUCAACGUCGGAAGUGCCUCCCGAACUGGGGGACUUGGAUGACUCUGCCGUGGGGGGAAUGUGUAGGGUAGCGGGGGAAUGCUUAGAGAUUACACAGAACACCGAUUGCGAAGGCAUCUCACGAAGGGUUGAUUGACGCUGAGGCACGAAAGCGUGGGGAUCAAACAGGAUUAGAUACCCUGGUAGUCCACGCAGUAAACGAUGAUGGCUAACCGCUGGGCUUAUCAGUUCAGUGGCCAAGCGAAAGCGAUAAGCCAUCCACCUGGGGAGUACGACCGCAAGGUUGAAACUCAAAUGAAUUGACGGGG
rnacentral:rRNA from 1 species